UGGCGGACGGGUGAGUAAUGUCUGGGAAACUGCCUGAUGGAGGGGGAUAACUACUGGAAACGGUAGCUAAUACCGCAUAACGUCGAAAGACCAAANAGGGGGACCUUCGGGCCUCUUGCCAUCGGAUGUGCCCAGAUGGGAUUAGCUUGUUGGUGGGGUAAUGGCUCACCAAGGCGACGAUCCCUAGCUGGUCUGAGAGGAUGACCAGCCACACUGGAACUGAGACACGGUCCAGACUCCUACGGGAGGCAGCAUG
rnacentral:rRNA from 1 species